UACGUAGGGUCCGAGCGUUGUCCGGAGUUACUGGGCGUAAAGCGUGCGCAGGCGGCGGUGCUGGCCCGGCGUGAAAGCCCCCGGCUCAACCGGGGAGGGUCGUCGGGGACCGCACCGCUUGAGGGCGGUAGGGGCUGGUGGAAUGCCUGGUGUAGUGGUGAAAUGCGUAGAGAUCAGGCGGAACACCCGUGGCGAAGGCGGCCAGCUGGGCCGUCCCUGACGCUGAGGCGCGAAGGCGUGGGGAGCGAACGGG
rnacentral:rRNA from 1 species